UCGAGAGUUUGAUCCUGGCUCAGGAUGAACGCUAGCGGCAGGCUUAACACAUGCAAGUCGAGGGGUAUAGUUCUUCGGAACUAGAGACCGGCGCACGGGUGCGUAACGCGUAUGUAAUCUACCUUUUACAGAGGGAUAGCCCAGAGAAAUUUGGAUUAAUACCUCAUAGUAUGUGAGAAUCGCAUGGUUUUCACAUUAAAGUCACAACGGUAAAAGAUGAGCAUGCGUCCCAUUAGCUAGAUGGUAAGGUAACGGCUUACCAUGGCAAC
rnacentral:rRNA from 1 species